GGCCUUAUAGUCAAGUGGUUAAGACAUAAUGUUUUCAUCAUUACAUACAUGGGUUCAAUCCCCAUUGAGGCUA
rnacentral:tRNA from 1 species